rnacentral:rRNA from 1 species
AAGCGCUUACAACCAGACUUGCGCGCGACGGUUCCCCCUUCCUUUUGGUUGGGCCACUCCGUCGUGUCCAGGCCAACAUCAGUUUUGGUGGUCGGUUAAAGGCCUUGGGAAUGUACCUACUCCUUCGGGUGUAGACUUAUAGCCCUCGGUGUCAUGCGACCUACCGAGACUGAGGAACGCGCUUCGGCUCGGAUGUUGGCGUAAUGGUUGUCAGCGA